GCCGCGUGAAUGAUGAAGGCCUUAGGGUUGUAAAAUUCUUUCGCUAGGGAUGAUAAUGACAGUACCUAGUAAAGAAGCCCCGGCUAACUUCGUGCCAGCAGCCGCGGUAAUACGAAGGGGGCUAGCGUUGUUCGGAAUUACUGGGCGUAAAGCGCACGUAGGCGGACUUUUAAGUCAGAUGUGAAAUCCCGGGGCUCAACCUCGGAACUGCAUUUGAAACUGGAAGUCUAGAGACCAGGAGAGGUUAGCGGAAUACCGAGUGUAGAGGUGAAAUUCGUAGAUAUUCGGUGGAACACCAGUGGCGAAGGCGGCUAACUGGACUGGUACUGACGCUGAGGUGCGAAAGUGUGGGGAGCAAACAGGAUUAGAUACCCUGGUAGUCCACACCGUAAACGAUGAGAGCUAGUUGUUGGCAGGCAUGCCUGUCGGUGACGCAGCUAACGCAUUAAGCUCUCCGCCUGGGGAGUACGGUCGCAAGAUUAAAACUCAAAGAAAUUGACGGGGGCCCGCACAAGCGGCGGAGCAUGUGGAUUAAUUCGAUGCAACGCGAAGAACCUUACCUGGGCUUGACAUACACCGGACCGCUGCAGAGAUGUAGUUUCCCUUGUGGUUGGUGUACAGGUGGUGCAUGGUUGUCGUCAGCUCGUGUCGUGAGAUGUUGGGUUAAGUCCCGCAACGAGCGCAACCCUUGUCAUUAGUUGCUACGAAAGGGCACUCUAAUGAGACUGCCGGUGACAAACCGGAGGAAGGUGGGGAUGACGUCAAGUCCUCAUGGCCCUUACGGGCUGGGCUACACACGUGCUACAAUGGCGGUGACAGUGGGCAGCAAACUCGCAAGGGUGAGCAAAUCCCAAAAAGCCGUCUCAGUUCGGAUUGCUCUCUGCAACUCGAGAGCAUGAAGGCGGAAUCGCUAGUAAUCGCUGGUCAGCUACACAGCGGUGAAUUCGUUCCCGGGCCUUGUACACACCGCCCGUCACACCAUGGAAGCUGGUUAUACCCGAAGUCGUUACUCUAACCGUUUGGAGGAGGAUGCCUAAGGUAGAAUUAGUGACUGGGGUGAAGUCGUAACAAGGUAACCGUACUGGAAGGUGCGGUUGGAUCACCUCCUU
rnacentral:rRNA from 1 species